CUCCCUGCACCUCCCCAUCGCCACCCAGAGCUCAGUGAAACGAGUGCCCCCAUGUCUCUCCCGGUGCCGGCCACAUACUUGGGACCAGCUCGCACUCCUCCCGGCCACCGGUCCGCCGGACGGACUGCGAAGACCUGCCCCACAGGGCUCUCAGCUUCGGGGACAAUGCUUUCCGGGGACCUCCAACCCAGUAGCAAGGGCACCCACCUCUCCAGCGGGCGGGCAGUCAGUGCGGGUGACCCAUCUGGCGGUCAGCAGUGCCAAAGUCCUCACGGACCGUCCUGAUCCGCUCCUCUUGGUGAGUAUUUAUCAUUCUUGCUCCAUCUUUGGUCAUUCACAGGGGCAUUUUAGCUGGUCCUGGAAAAGGAGACGUAGGCAGGACCCCUCUGUUGAUAUCUGCUGCCUCCUUGAUCCUGCUUGCUGGUGUCAGCGUCUGCGGGGAAGUAGGCCCGUGGUACAUGCUGGGCCAGAGGUGUACGCGGUGGAUGUCCCCCUGCUCACUACCAAUCUUCUCCGCCUCUGGUUCCAUCUCCAUCCGCUCAGGUCUCCUGGCGGGCUGUUCUCCUUACAGCCUGUGCCAGUGUAGGCGAACGGCUGAGAUCCAGCACGUGGCUCCCGUCUUCUGGAGGGCCGUCGCCAUGCGGCCGGGAUAACCCCCGCCGGCCAAAAAGGGGGGGGAGCGGGGCCGCACCGCCGGCAGGCACUGUUCGUGCAUUCUCAGUCUCUCACUGCGGGUAUCCACAGCCGGGUACCUCCUCUUCAUCGGUCCCGCUCUCAUGCUACCUGCAUCUAGGCUUCCUGCAGCGUGUAGGCCGGGGAUGUCAGCAUCUCCCCUUCCCGGAUUGUCGUCGGUGGCCCGCGGGUAUCUCACAGUAGCUGGGGUUAUGCUCUCCACUAUGCUUGUGAGUUUGUCGGUGUUGGGGCGCUCUGCACCCGCUUUUUUGGGAGUCUUUUUGUAAAGUUCUGAUGAGAUGGUAUUUGGUUCCACUGAGAUUGUCUCGGAUGUAUGUUGAUAUCUCUCCUAAAUGUUGGAGAUAUCUGCUUGAAAUUGGUUCAUUUGAACAUAUAUUUUGGAAGUGUCCAGUUUUGUUAGACUUAUGGAAAUCUUUAA